rnacentral:rRNA from 1 species
UACGUAGGUGGCAAGCGUUGUCCGGAUUUAUUGGGCGUAAAGGGCGCGUAGGCGGCCACGCACGUCCGUUGUGAAAUCGCCCGGCUCAACUGGGCGGGGUCGGCGGAUACGGCGUGGCUGGAGCAAGCUAGGGGGCAAUGGAAUUCCCGGUGUAGUGGUGGAAUGCGUAGAUAUCGGGAGGAACACCAGUGGCGAAGGCGGUUGCCUGGAGCUUUGCUGACGCUGAGGCGCGAAAGCGUGGGGAGCGAUCCGG